UACGAAGGGGGCUAGCGUUGCUCGGAAUCACUGGGCGUAAAGGGUGCGUAGGCGGGUUCUUUAAGUCAGAGGUGAAAUCCUGGAGCUCAACUCCAGAACUGCCUUUGAUACUGAGAGUCUUGAGUAUGACAGAGGUGAGUGGAACUGCGAGUGUAGAGGUGAAAUUCGUAGAUAUUCGCAAGAACACCAGUGGCGAAGGCGGCUCACUGGGUCAUUACUGACGCUGAGGCACGAAAGCGUGGGGGAGCAAACAGGG
rnacentral:rRNA from 1 species